UAACACCAGCCCCCCGAGUGGUGGGGAUGUUUAUUUGGCCUAAAGCGUCCGUAGCCGGCUCGGUAAAUCUCUCGUUAAAUCCAGCGUCCUAAGCGUUGGGCUGCGAGAGAGACUGCCAAGCUAGAGGGUGGGAGAGGUUAGCGGUAUUUCUGGGGUAGGGGCGAAAUCCAUUGAUCCCAGGAGGACCACCAGUGGCGAAGGCUGCUGACUUGAACACGCCUGACGGUGAGGGACGAAAGCUGGGGUAGCGAAUCGGAUUAGAUACCCGAGUAGUCCCAGCCGUAAACGAUGCAAGCUAGGUGUUGGGUUGGCCACGUGCCGACUCAGUGCCACAGCGAAGGCGUUAAGCUCGCCGCCUGGGGAGUACGGCCGCAAGGCUG
rnacentral:rRNA from 1 species